CCCAGAACGGGUGAGGGUGCCUCUGUCUUCCUUCUGAGGACUAGGCCAAUUGAUAUUGUACGGGCAUGGGUCAGGCAUUUAAAAACCAUUAGGGCGCCUGCCACUUGAAGACUCCCGUGAAAGGAUAAGGGAGUCACGGAACAGAUCAGGUUGUUAGAGUGUCUACCCCCAGCAAGACAACUUCCAUGCACUGUGAGGCACAAAUUGGUUCAAGCAGAACACUGAGCCCCCUCCCCUUGGCUGCCGCCUUCCUAGCAGGACUACGAGGUGGAUUCCUCAGCCUGUCUUCUAUGUUACUUUCACCUUUUUCUCCAUCCGGAUUGACUUACAGGAGCUCAGGCUGCAUCUGAGACAUCCCAGGAGUGCCUUUUCACGUUUCAGGGAAUCGCCAAAUGCUCGGCCCUCGGAACUAAAUACAUGGGGAUCGGUGUGACCACUGGACACCUAGUUUAACCUCCUGUUCAUCUCCCAACAGGUUCAAAAGAUUCACUUCCAGAUGGUGCUACAACAAGAGUACCAGCCAGCUGGCACAUGAACUACAUUGGAACAAGCCUUCUUAUCAUUCCCUGGACUCUCAUCUCCCUCCGUGAACACACCCUGACAGAGCAGGCAUCAGGAACCCAGGGCCCCUACGAUGCCCCCAACCAGCAGGAAGCAGCCAGAGAGAUUGUCGGCCAUUCUCCUUACAAAAAGGGUUCCCAAACACCUGAGAAGGAGCUAGGCAGGUAGGUAGACAUGAGCAGGGAUCCAAUAGGGCCAAAGAAUUGGCCCUUUAAAUAAAGAGAGGGGGAAAUGUGGUGUGCUCCAAGGACAAAGAACAAGGUAAACUCAAAGGGCAAAUAUUGCCAGAACAAAGAGUUACAGGACUCCCAUCACUCUGUCACAAUGCGACCAUUGCAAUGACCCAGAGCCCUCCCAAGCACCAUGCCCUGUCCCUUUCCCAUCCCAUAUAAGGAAAGACUUUCCCCUGUUUUUCUCUCUCUCAGCACACUGAAAGUAUACGUACUCUGCCCAGUCAGCAGAUGACUUACAGGUUCCCUGGCUAUAAAAACAGACAAGCAACCCAUGCUCAUUGUCGACUUUCCCUGACUACCAGGAAGUCAGUCCACUGUUCUUGCAGUGACCCUUCUCUUUAAUAAACCCUAUCUCCCUUACAUUCUGCCUUGUGUCUGGAAAUUCUUUUCCAACCCGCGCUCGGACCACAACAAAAUAAUCUGUGAACACCCAAAAGAAUUACCUAAUGGAACCCACCUGCCCACAAAAUACCAAUUUUGUUGUACUUGUUUAAUCUUUAGAGAUAUAAAGAUUCCUAGUGGUAGCCAAGAACUAAAGGAGCAAUGCUGUGGUUUGAAUAACUAAGCCUGCCCCUGUUAUCCGUCUAUUUUACACAGUUAAGAAGCUUUGCUUUCUACAGAAGUUAUAUUCUUCAAAUGUUGCAGUAAGUCAAAUUUUUAUAAAAACAUAUUAGCAGAGCUCACUUUUGAAGGA